UCCUUUACCGUAAGAGGCUUCUUAGGAGGGGAUAAGUAGUUCUUUUGUUCUCGGUACUCGUUCCUUGCUCGCGUUUACUCUAGCUGAAGGAGAAAGAAGAGUUUACUUUUCCAGUGGAGGGUGAAGGCAGGAGUGGAUGGUGGUGACCUGGACACUGGGACAGCGAGAUUGUGGGCAACACAAAAGUGGAAGGAGCAGCUGGGGGUCACGCUGCCACCCAAAAGGACCCCGCCACCCUGGAGAGUUGGGUUGACAGGAAGCCUGUGAAAGUCAACACCACACCUGGACGUGGACCUGGGCAGCUUGAGCAGGGGGCAGGUCCCUUCCCACAGACGUCAGCAUUCCAGAGCAGGGGAGUUGCUGCAUUUAUCUGUUGGCAACGCCCAACACCUACUCCUGUCAGCUGGUAUGGGAGGUUACCUCCUCGUGACAGAGCAACUCCCAGAUUGCAAGGUGUGGCUCCUCUGCUGUGCAAAUGCUGACACCUGGAGAGAGAUGACCACCAGCAGUGUGCCCAGGUGGCCAAGAAGGCCACCAGCAUCCUGUAUCAGGAACAGUGUGGCCAGGAGGACAGUGACCAUCCCCCUGUACCGGGCA